ACUCCUACGGGAGGCAGCAGUAGGGAAUAUUGGGCAAUGGAGGCAACUCUGACCCAGCCAUGCCGCGUGCAGGAUGAAGGCCUUCUGGGUUGUAAACUGCUUUUUUACGGGAAGAAAAAGACCAUGCGUGGUAAACUGACGGUACCGUAAGAAUAAGCACCGGCUAACUCCGUGCCAGCAGCCGCGGUAAUACGGAGGGUGCAAGCGUUGUCCGGAUUUAUUGGGUUUAAAGGGUGCGUAGGCGGCUUAAUAAGUCCGUGGUGAAGUCCAACAGCUCAACUGUUGAACUGCCAUGGAUACUGUUAGGCUUGAGUACAGACGAGGUAGGCGGAAUGGAUAGUGUAGCGGUGAAAUGCAUAGAUACUAUCCAGAACACCGAUUGCGUAGGCAGCUUACUAGGCUGUAACUGACGCUGGGGCACGAAAGCGUGGGGAGCGAACAGGA
rnacentral:rRNA from 1 species